rnacentral:rRNA from 1 species
UUUANAAUAAAUUUAACCUACAAGUAAAAAGACUUGUAUUAACAAGAAAGACGACAAGACCCUAUAGAACUUCACUAUUGUUAAACUGGGGUGGUCAACAACAAAAGCUUAUCUUCCCAAACCACACAAAGACCUGAAACUUUCAACAAAAGAACAAGUUACCUUAGGGAUAACAGAGUAAUUCCUCUCUAGACCUGUUCCAAAGAGGAGCUUUCUACCUCGAUGUUGAAUUUAAUAUUACUUCAUAAAUAAACAUUAUACAAGUAGGUCUGUUCGACCUUUAAAAUAUUACAUGAUUUGAGUUCAGACCGGCGCAAGCCAGGUCAGAUUCUAUCUUCUCCCAACUUCACUACAGUACGAAAGGACCUAAUGAUAGAUAA